rnacentral:rRNA from 1 species
GAUGAACGCUGGCGGCGUGCCUAAUACAUGCAAGUCGAGCGAACAGACGCGGAGCUUGCUCCUCUGACGUUAGCGGCGGACGGGUGAGUAACACGUGGAUCACCUCCCUAUAAGACUGGGAUAACUUCGUGAAACCGGAGCUAAUACCGUAUAAUAUAUUGAACCGCAUGGUUCAAUAGUGAAAGACGGUUUUGCUGUCACUUAUAGAUGGAUCCGCGCCGCAUUAGCUAGUUGGUAAGGUAACGGCUUACCAAGGCAACGAUGCGUAGCCGACCUGAGAGGGUGAUCGGCCACACUGGAACUGAGACACGGCCCAGACUCCUACGGGAGGCAGCAGUAGGGAAUCUUCCGCAAUGGGCGAAAGCCUGACGGAGCAACGCCGCGUGAGGGAUGAAGGUCUUCGGAUCGUAAAACGCUGUUAUUAGGGAAGAAAAAAUGUGUAAGUAACUAGGCACGUCUUGACGGUACCUAAUCAGAAAGCCACGGCUAACUACGUG